rnacentral:rRNA from 1 species
UACGUAGGGUGCAAGCGUUGUCCGGAAUUAUUGGGCGUAAAGAGCGUGUAGGCGGCCCGAUUAGUCCGCUGUGAAAGUUCAGGGCUCAACCCUGGAAUGCCGGUGGAUACUGUCGGGCUUGAGUACGGAAGAGGCGAGUGGAAUUCCUGGUGUAGCGGUGAAAUGCGCAGAUAUCAGGAGGAACACCAAUGGCGAAGGCAGCACUCUGGGACGUGACUGACGCUGAGACGCGAAGCGUGGGGAGCAAACAGG